UGCAUCUGUGGCCGAGCGGUCGAAGGCACCGGACUCAUAAUCCGUAUCUGUAAAGACGUCGCUGGUUCAAACCCAGCCAGGUGUAU
rnacentral:tRNA from 1 species